AGUGAACGCUGGCGGUAGGCCUAACACAUGCAAGUCGAACGGCAGCACAGUAAGAGCUUGCUCUUACGGGUGGCGAGUGGCGGACGGGUGACGAAUACAUCGGCAUCUACUUUUUCGUGGGGGAUAACGUAGGGACACUUACGCUAAUACCGCAUACGACCUACGGGUUAAAGCAGGAGAUCUUCGCACCUUGCGCGAUUGUAUGAGCCGAUGUCGGAUUAGCUAGUUGGCGGGGUAAAGGCCCACCAAGGCGACGAUCCGUAGCUGGUCUGAGAGGAUGAUCAGCCACACUGGAACUGAGACACGGUCCAGACUCCUACGGGAGGCAGCAGUGGGGAAUAUUGGGCAAUGGGCGCAAGCCUGAUCCAGCCAUACCGCGUGGGUGAAGAAGGCCUUCGGAUUGUAAAGCCCUUUUGUUGGGAAAGAAAAGAAGCAGGUGAAUACCCCGAUGUUCUGACGGUACCCAAAGAAUAAGCAACGGCUAACUACGUG
rnacentral:rRNA from 1 species